CGGGGCCCGGCCGGCCGCGUGGAGGGGGCGCCUCCCUUAGCCCUCCUUGUUCCUCCGCCGCCGGAGCCCGAGGGGACCCCCCCCUUCCCGCCCCGAGGCGGCCCCCGAGGAGGGGGGCGAAGAAGCCGGUGGGCCGGGGGGAGCGGCCUCCGGGAACAUGGCCGAGGGGAGGCCGGCCGUCAGGGGCUGUCCCCGCAGGCAAGUAGUGCCCCAGCGGAGCUUCGGGGACCCGCACGGCGGCGCGCUGGCGGGGGUGCCGGGUGACCCUUCGCGAGGAGGGUGCCGGGAUGCGUGCUCCGGGGCAUUGUACGCCCGUGGGACGUGUAUUUCUUCUCUGUUCUCUUUGUGCCUUGCCCUUGGAUGCCUCCGCUUCUUGUUACCGGAGUGAAUUUUAAAAAAUCUUCUCCUUGAGUCGACUGUUUGAUCUGUUCGGCAUUUUUACAUGAUGCUACAGGACAAACUCUAUUCAAGGAGAAGAUAACAAACCGUGGAAGGAUUACAUAUCCAUUGUUACUGGCUUUCAGAUUUCCUGAAGAUAAUUGUUUGCCGCCGUGAAACAGUGUGUACUUACAUUUGGAAAAUCAUCGCAGAAGAAGAUUGUGUGAUUGGGGGGCGGAAGGGAGAGCGCUAGUUCCUUUUUUCAGCCAAAGUGUCGGUAUUUUAUCAGUUCUCUGUGUACCCAUUGUGUAACAAACUACAGUAUACUUGCUCCAGAUGUGAAAGCCUUCCAGCAGUCUAAGACUGAGUCUCUUAAGACUGAAGAAGAAGCAAAGUUUCACCAGGAACUCGUUUGCCUUUUCCUUUACUAUCAAGUUAUUCUUGGGAGGCCCCCUGGUGCCUGCAGUCAAUGUUCACUGUUUAAGACUUUGUGGACUCUAACAGAUGUGAACAUCUUACUGGGUCUGUGAGACAUUCGCUUUGAAAAAGUGUAUGUGUUUUUUGUAGUUACGCAUUGUUAUAAAAGGGAAGUGUAGCUAUUUAAAAAUUUUAAUAUCUUGUUAACUUUGGGGGAAGUUUAUGCUCACCAUGAACUUGGCUUGUAAACUUAAAUAUUUAAAAAUCUGAUGCUUGUAUCUCAACUUCUUUAUUUUUAUCUUACAUAAACUUACAUAUUUAUAUACUGUAUAGGCAUAAAACACAGCAGACUUAUGUGUUUUUAAAUCUUUGAUAUGGGAUCUUUUAAGUCAGAUGCACCCUUUUAAGAUUAUAGAUAAUUAAGAAACCACUAGUGGAUUGUUCAAGGUUGUUAAGAGAAAAGAUAUGGUGAGGAAAAUAGGCUAAGUGAUUCUGUUUGUUUCUGUGAAUUCAAAUUACAUACGUGUUGGGUUCUGGUUUUGGAUGAUCAUUUUCCAGACUUUUUCCCCUUUUAAAUUAGCAAGCAUUUAUUGACCUGCUUUGUGCCAGUCACCAGGAAUCCAAAAAUAAGACACAGUCUCUUCACUCAGGGAACUCCCAGUCUAAACAAGUGACUUUCAGGCUUUUUCAGCCUGCUCUCUGACAGUAAAGAGUACCAUUACUUGCUUCUUAAUCCCGGGAAGUAUGUUUAGUUUUGACUGUGCCUCCCUGGGAUUCUUAAAUUCUCCUCUUUUCCUUCCCUUUUCCAAAAUCUAGACCUGUCCAAAGACAUCCUAACAGACUUGGAUUUUCUAAUAAAUAAUUGUUUUUAAUCUUCA